rnacentral:rRNA from 1 species
UUUUAGUUUGCCCUCCCGAAAGUAAGUGAGCUACUUCAAAAUAGCAUUUAGAGCCAACCCAUCUCUGUUGCAAAAGAGUGGGACAAUUUUCAAGUAGAGGUGAUAGACCUACCGAACUUAGAGAUAGCUGGUUAUUUAAGAAAAGAAUUUUAGUUCAGCCCUAAGUCUUUUAUUAAUUAAAAAAUCUUCCUAGACUUAGGAGUUAUUCAAAUAAGGCACAGCUUAUUUGAAAAAGGACACAACCUAAAACACAGGGUAAAAUAAACUGAUACUUUAACAAGUGGGCCUAAAAGCAGCCACCUUUUAAAAAGCGUCAAAGCUUAUUAAUAUUAACUUUCCUAAUACUCUUUNUAAUUUUAACCCUUAUUUAAUAUUAAAUUACNCCAUAAAUUUAUGGAAGCUAUUAUGCUAGAACAAGUAACAAGAAAAAGAUUUUCUCCAAAACGUAAGCUUAAGCCCCAAUAGACAAACUACCGGCAAUUAACGUUAAUGAACCAAGUAUAGCAACACUAACAAGAAAACUCUAUACAAAUUAACGUCAACCUUACACCAGAACAUUUAUGGAAAGAUUAAAAGGAUAAGAAGGAACUCGGCAAACUUUGAUCCCGCCUGUUUACCAAAAACAUCGCCUCUUGUUUAAAUAUAAGAGGUCCAGCCUGCCCAGUGACAAGAUUUAACGGCCGCGGUACUCUGACCGUGCGAAGGUAGCAUAAUCACUUGUUCUUUAAAUGAGGACUAGUAUCAACGGCACCACGAGGAUCUUACUGUCUCCUNCCCCCAAUCAGUGAAACUAAUCUCCCCGUGAAGAAGCGGGGAUAANANUAUAAGACGAGAAGACCCCAUGGAGCUUUAAACCCGAAGACACCCGUUUAUUUAAAAUCNUAUUAUUUGUACGGUUAUNGCUCAUUCGAUUUUAGGUUGGGGUGACCUCGGAGUAUAAAUUAACCUCCAUGAAGAAAAGACUAAUAAUCUUAUCAGAGAAUUACACUUCCAAGAAUUAAUAAACUAAUUUAAUAUGAUCCAUUAUUUGAUCAACGAACCAAGUUACCCUGGGGAUAACAGCGCAAUCCAUCUCAAGAGCCCCUAUCGAAAGAUGGGUUUACGACCUCGAUGUUGGAUCAGGGUAUCCUAGUGGUGCAGCAG